CCUACGGGAGGCAGCAGUGGGGAAUAUUGCACAAUGGGGGAAACCCUAAUGCAGCGACGCCGCGUGAGUGAAGAAGUAAUUCGGUAUGUAAAGCUCUAUCAGCAGGGAAGAAAAUGACGGUACCUGAGUAAGAAGCCACGGCUAAAUACGUGCCAGCAGCCGCGGUAAUACGUAGGGGGCAAGCGUUAUCCGGAUUUAAUGGGUGUAAAGGGAGCGUAGACGGAAGUGGAAGUCUGGAGUGAAAGGCGAGGGCUCAACCCCCGGACUGCUCUUGAAACUGUACGGCUGGAGUACAGGAGAGGUAAGAGGAAUGCCUAGUGUAGCGGUGAAAUGCGUAGAUAUUAGGAGGAACACCAGUGGCGAAGGCGGCUGACUGGACUGUAACUGACGUUGAGGCUCGAAAGCGUGGGGAGCAAACAGGAUUAGAUACCCGGGUAGUC
rnacentral:rRNA from 1 species